rnacentral:rRNA from 1 species
UUGGAGGGCAAGUCUGGUGCCAGCAGCCGCGGUAAUUCCAGCUCCAAUAGCGUAUAUUAAAGUUGUUGCAGUUAAAAAGCUCGUAGUUGAAUUUCGGAGUUUGUCGGUUGGUCGGGCUUCACUGUCCGCACAGACCUGAUGGAUUCCUACCUUCUGAAUAACCAGCAUGCUAUUAAGUUAGUGCGUUGGGGAAGCAGAGCUAUUACCUUGAAAAAAUUAGAGUGCUUAAAGCAGGCUUAUGCUUGAAUAGAUUAGCAUGGAAUAAUAAAAUAGGACGGCAUGGUUCUAUUUUGUUGGUUUCUAGGAUCACCGUAAUGAUUAAUAGGGAUAGUUGGGGGCAUUAGUAUUCAAUUGUCAGAGGUGAAAUUCUUGGAUUUAUUGAAGACUAACUUCUGCGAAAGCAUUUGCCAAGGAUGUUUUCAUUAAUCAAGAACGAAAGUUAGGGGAUCGAAGACGAUCAGAUACCGUCGUAGUCUUAACCAUAAACUAUGCCGACUAGGGAUCGGACGAUGUUAAUUUUUUAAUGACUCGUUCGGCGCCUUACGGGAAAC